rnacentral:pre_miRNA from 1 species
AAAAAGGCAAACCCUGGGUUUCUGUGUCCAACUUUGACUGUCCGUCUUAUAUGAAAUUUUUUUGUAAUUCAUAUUUUCAUUGUUGUUAGAUGAUAAAACAUGAUUAAUAUUUUAUGCGUGACUUGUCUUUUAAUUUUUUCAUAAUUAUUUGAAAUAAGACAGACGGUCAAACGUUGGGCACGGAAACCAGGGUUUGUCUUUUU